rnacentral:rRNA from 1 species
UACGGAGGGUGCAAGCGUUAUCCGGAUUCACUGGGUUUAAAGGGUGCGUAGGAGGGCAGGUAAGUCCGUGGUGAAAUCUCCGAGCUUAACUCGGAAACUGCCGUGGAUACUACCGGUCUUGAAUAUCGUGGAGGUGAGCGGAAUAUGUCAUGUAGCGGUGAAAUGCUUAGAGAUGACAUAGAACACCCAUUGCGAAGGCAGCUCACUACCCGAAUAUUGACUCUGAGGCACGAAAGCGUGGGGAUCAAGCAGG